rnacentral:rRNA from 1 species
ACUCCUACGGGAGGCAGCAGUGGGGAAUAUUGGGCAAUGGGGGGAACCCUGACCCAGCGACGCCGCGUGGGUGAAGAAAGCCUUCGGGUUGUAAAGCUCUGUUGUAUGGGAAGAGUAGAAGACGGUACCAUACGAGGAAGCCCCGGCAAACUACGUGCCCGCAGCCGCGGUAAUA